rnacentral:rRNA from 1 species
AUUGAACGCUGGCGGCAUGCCUUACACAUGCAAGUCGAACGGCAGCACGGGUGCUUGCACCUGGUGGCGAGUGGCGAACGGGUGAGUAAUAUAUCGGAACGUACCUUAUCGUGGGGGAUAACGCAGCGAAAGUUGCGCUAAUACCGCAUACGCCCUAAGGGGGAAAGCAGGGGACCGUAAGGCCUUGCGCGAUUAGAGCGGCCGAUAUCUGAUUAGCUAGUUGGUGAGGUAAAGGCUCACCAAGGCGACGAUCAGUAGCUGGUCUGAGAGGACGAUCAGCCACACUGGGACUGAGACACGGCCCAGACUCCUACGGGAGGCAGCAGUGGGGAAUUUUGGACAAUGGGGGCAACCCUGAUCCAGCAAUGCCGCGUGAGUGAAGAAGGCCUUCGGGUUGUAAAGCUCUUUUGUCAGGGAAGAAACAGCAGCUCUAAUACAGUUUGCGAAUGACGGUACCUGAAGAAUAAGCACCGGCUAACUACGUGCCAGCCGCCGCAGUAACAC